rnacentral:misc_RNA from 1 species
GCGAGUGACGCGCGUGGGGCAAUUCCUUCGUACAACUUGCAUCGACGAACUGCCGCAACUGUGGAACGUAUUGCGAGGCGAGAUGUCCCUGGUGGGUCCACGUCCGUUGCCGGUUGGUGAGAGCCGCGCAUGUGCGACUUGGCACCGGCGGAGAUUGGAUGUGCGCCCUGGGCUGACCUGCCGCUGGC